rnacentral:lncRNA from 1 species
AAAUUAUUUUAGGCAUGGGAUCAAAGAAGAAACUUCUUUGUAGCAGCAUCCCAGUACUAGGACUUUUUGUCUCUGCAUGGAAAUCUGAAUAUAUUUAUAUGUUGGAGUGACAUCUCUACAGGAAGCCUAGAGACCUAACUGUUUGCUACAUGUCACCAAAGUUAAAGUGGCUACCUUAAUGAGCAGCCAGGAUGCCAUCAUCUCCGACCUGAAUGACAAUAACCUCCAAACCAGCCUUUGUAUACUCCUUCCUGCUGCUCUGCAGUCCACUUCCACAGACCAGCCAACUGAAUCUCCUUAUAGAUUCAUAAUGGCCAUCAGCACAAAGAUGUUUUAUCUGCAGUCAACCAGUCAUGUUUCAUGAUGGCAUCAAAAUGUGCUGGAAAAGGUCAGAGAAAAUCAUCAUCAUAAAGUGAAGUGAUUUUCUUCUUUAUGAGCUCCUGAUGUAAACAGACUGAUGAGCACAACACAAUCCUUACUCACCCACAUGACAUCAUACACAAUCACAGCUAAAUGUUUCUAUCUGUCAAAGCCUGAAGAGUGACUACCAGAUUGUUGCCUGAUUGCUAAGAAUUGAUGCUUGUUCAACUGGGAUCUAUCCAGAGAAACAUAAUCCACUUCAAGAAUUUUCUGAAAAGGGAAUCUAAUGCAAGGAAUUAAUUGCAAAGAUGAUGCAAUAUCUGAGAACGAUAGAUUUGACAGUUUGGUCUACAUUUCAAGGCUGGUUAGAUGGGAGGUAUGUCCUGGUAUAUUAGUUAAUUUAGGUAUAUCUUACUGAUUUACAUUGCAUGAUUUAUCAGAUGCUAUUGACUCAUUCAAGUAAAUACAUUUAAAAAUUAUACCUUUUGCUCAUACUAGUAAUUGGGUCAGUCAUGCUCUUGAAGGAGGCAUACUGGGAGCCAUACAUUACCAGAGGCAGAGGAUUCAAUGGAUGUUUUCUGUUUUCUCUUCUUCGUGCUCUGUAAUUGAGACACAGAACAAAGGAGGAAGACUAAGUGCUCUGCCUUAACUCAGGCCAGGCUGUGGGCGCAAGUGCACCAACGGCUUUGAGACUAACACACAGCUCAGAACAAGGAGGUGAAAAUCUGACAGCUCAAAAUGAAGCAAAAACCCAAGAUUAAAACAGACACCAUUUUGUGCCCACUCAGUCUUCUUUCCAGGGUCAUACAUGUAGGCAGCCUUCUGGAGUGUCCACUGUGAAGAUGCUGGCUGCAGCACAGGAGGUGUAGACAGGGUUGUCCACUCAGUGGAGCAGGUUGUCUGCAUACCUCAUUCUUCCUGGAUACGGGACAAGAACUCAGUACCCACUAAAUGGCAAGACUAAAACAGCUGUAACACAAACAGUACUGAAACACACCCACCCGUUUGCCAUUUUGUGGGUGACGAAAAGGAGAGAAGUCCUGCAGCCUAUGUCUGGGAACCCAGACCUCAGGGCUCUUUAAGCCAGGACUGUGACAUGCUGUAACAACCUCUUUGAGGCUCUGCAGUUUCUGGGAUCUCCAAGAUUUCGGGCGCCACUGCAUUCCCCUUGUCCAGAUGUUGGUGCCCACAGCAGAAGUCACCUGCAGUACAUCUGGUACAGCUGCAGCCUUGCAUGGAGUUGGCACCUGUGCCAGCACCUGGAGCUGCCUGUCCAUCACAGCUGGCAUGCCUGGCUGUGCACAGUGGCCAGG